GUUUUUUGACGUCAUUAUAUACUUGUUUGUGUUGAGAAAUAGAAAGAAAAUGUAGUUAAUUUGUUAAAACAAACUUUGAAAAAGCCUAUUUAGGCGAAAUAUAUCAGGAAAGAGAGGAACUUGUUCUGUGAGAAGGCCUACCGAAACACCCAUGCGUUGAGCAUCUUAAUUUUAUUCAGCUAGUAUCAACACAUUUCAUCAGAUACGCAGUUAAAAUCGAAGUCAUCACGAGUGUUCACGCCAUCCGUUGGCAUCUUAAAUUUGAAAUUCGAGACAAAACUUGGAAGAAUAUAUGUUGGUCUUCCUCCUCGAACCGAUCAAUGAAGGACUCGCCAGUCUAUUUCCGAUAAAACUAGACAAGUAGUUAAUGAUUUUUUGAAUGCAAAGUUAAAUAUACUAUCCUAUCUUAACAUUUAUGCAUUGUUAAAUUAGCAAUUUAAUAUAAUAAUCGUAUGCGGAGGUUCUAGUCACAAAAUUAUGUUGUAUGUUUAUCGCUUGGUUCGGGUUCAUAUGAUAUCAUCGAAUCUUAUAACUUGUUAAUAUGUACUAACUCUGUCAAUUCAUUUAGAUGACUCGUCUUUAAUGUUGUUGAUAUUGUUUUAAUGCUUAAUUGGUAUUUUACCUUAUAUUUGAAUAUAAGCAUACAUAAGCCACAGUAUUAGUUCAUGCGUAUUUUAAUCCAUUUAAGGCUACUAUAAUAUGUUAUUAUGUAUAUUUAACAUCAGUGUAUCUUAUCUAUCAUGUUUGUUUAAUCGACUGGUCAUGUCUCAUUUUAACUAUAUAUAGACUAUAAAAAUUAUGUUUUCUCUUCCUCUCCUGAUAUUUGUUUUAAUAAAUAAAUAAUAGCAUUUAUAUAUAUUAAAAGAAACCUACAUGGUUCCUAUGUUAAUAAUACGAUAAGAAUAUGUAAUUAUGUUCGUAAAUAUACAAUUAGCAAGAGUGUAAAUUACAUAUGGAUUUGGAAUAUUUGUAUUCUAUAAUUGCUUCUAUGACUGACGAAUUAACUUGGUGUAAAUAUAUCGUAAGAAUAUUUAUGUUGUUGAAUGUUAUAUGCAUUAAUUGUAUUCAUGAAAAAUACUAAUACGCAUUUUUACUGUGUUAAUGUUACUUUUGAUUAAUAAAAAACCUCUUUAAAAGAGAUUUUCAAUUACCAGUUCAGCAUUACAAUUAGAACGAUUGUAUCGUAUGUAUGUGUUCAAAUAAUUACAGAUUACCACAUGCAAUAUAUAUAGUUUGAACCGAUAUAUUAAAGGACGUCAACCUCUUUAAAAAAGAUUUUCAAUUACCAGUUCAGCAUUACAAUUAGAACGAUUAUAUCGUAUGUAUGUGUUCAAAUAAUUACAGAUUACCACAUGCAAUAUAUAUAGUUUGAACCGAUAUAUUAAAGGACGUCAACACUUAUGACGAAAUGGC